UGGUAUGUGUUACAACAUCCACCCGCUAGGGGGCCUCAGGGAGUUAUAGAGAGCUGAGUAAGACAGCAGGAGAAGUGUGUGUGUGGGGAGACUGAGCACAUGUACAGAGUGGCUGCGUCCGAAAUCGCAUACUUAACGACUUUUGCAGUAUUUGUAAUAUCUGCACAAAUAAGACGUUGAUCAGGUGCUUGAAGAUCUCGGCUUUGGAGAAGAAUGUUGAUUUUACACUUGAAAAAUUGUACAGACGGUGAACCCACAUCCGUCCAUCAGGUACCUCACUGCUGCAGUCAGACUGAAUCUGAUCAUGAUGAGAGAGGGACAUCGAGUCCUUGUCUGAGUGCAGAGAGGAUGAGGAAGACCAUGAUGAAGACCCUGAACAGGAGCAGGAGAACAUGUGCGGGACGAUCUGACUGCUGCUGUGUCUGCUCUCCAUGAGCAACACUACCUGGAAAACACUUACACAUAUGAACUGAACUGGUGAGCAGAAGGUUUCUGGAUCAAUCUCCACCGGUGUGUCUUUACUCCAGGUGACUCCAGAGGGAUUGAAGUCCUGUAAUAACAGCACUAUGUUCUCAAUGGCUCUGGGGUCACUGAAGAUGAAGAGACCACAGCAACAUCUGGUCCUGAUGAGAAAACAAGAGGAGAUGCAGUGAUGGAGCAUUUCACCCAUGGCACUCCAUCUUCUCCAUCCUCAGUGCACACAGCUGUCUGCAGACAUUUCAGAUCCUAUAAAGAUGCACAAACACAAAUCAAAAGCAGUCAUUUUAAUAGCACAGUGUCAUUUAAUUUCUGUAUUAGAAGUAACAGAAUGAUCUUACUUUAGAUUUUUCUUUCAGGUUUUUUCCACAGAUGCUGCUGUCACUCACUGAGAAUCUUUGAUGGCAGCAUUUCUUCAUCAGUCUCUCUGCAGCAGAUAAACACACGUGUGUCUCAUCUGUCCCUGAAACAUCCAGACAAGAGUCCGUCUCUGUGAUUUAUCUGUGAUAUACUGCAUUUACAUGUUGAGCUAGAUGUCGAUGUGUUCACUCACUUUUUACCUAACAUAAGAGCUCCACAAUUUAUCAACAACACUAAUGGUCAAAUGAAAUAGAUAACUUAUGUUUACUUAAUGUAGAUUUAUUUAUUUACAUUACUCACAUUCAUCUAAAGAAAUGUAGACAGUUGAUUCUACAUAAUAACACACACAUCUCUCACUCAAAUGUCUGUUCAUGUGAUUUGCUCUUUUGCAAUUCUCUUAGAACAUUUCUCUGUCUGAUAUUAAACAGACAAUUAAUCGUCUUUAAGAUGUAUUUGGUUCAUGCAAAUCAACUUUGGGGAUGUACAUGUGCUUAAUAGGGAUUCCGAUUUUUGCUUUACAUAAUAAAACAUGUUUUGAUGUUGUUUUUCAUCACAAAUAUACUAUGAUGUUACUGGCUAGCGUCUUUACACCUUAACAAAUGAACAGUUUACUCUACAGUAGCUCAACAAAUACGAUUUUAUCACAUUGGAACCGUGUUUUGUUUUAUAAUUAUCACCUUUGUAAACACCCACUACGCUGCUCUCCUCCUCCUAUGAUGAUGAUUUAUCCCUUUCGCGUGGCAUUCUGGGAUUGAAAAGUAUCCCCCGAUGAACCCUUCAUAAUCUUGGCUGAAGCAGUAGGACAUCCGGGGAUUUCUCGCCUACUGUUUUAUGGUUUAAGGUUUCGAACGUACUUCCUUCUUCACAUACUCUUUUUCCCUACUAUAUAGUAGGUGAGUAGGCAUAUUAGAAUGCAAAUUAAGUAUACGUACAACUGAAUCUCGCAAGAGUUAUUGCAAUUCUCGCCUACUCUUUUAUGAACACAAAAGAUUCAAACAUACUAAUUUGUCGCAUACUGCUUUUUCCAUACUAUAUAGUAGAGAAGUAUUCGAUUUCGGAUGCAGCCAGUGUUGCGUUGUAUGUAUGUGUUCCACAAGCCUCAAUAAAUGAACUGAACUGGUUAUGCCUCCGCUUGAAUAUACACAAGACAAAACUAGCAUAAAAUCAUCUAUGGAUGAAAGCUCUGGAUGCACAGGUGAGCUCAUGAAUUGUAGUGCCAAAUAUUACUACAAAUAAUCCUUAAAGCUUAGAAUUAAUUAUAGAAUUAGCUUUAUGAGCCAGAGUAACCCAGGUUUAUAAGAACACAACCUUGGAAUAAAAGAAACACCCAACAUAGCCUUCCAUACUCUUCUGCAACAGCCCUCCUCCGUGCCAAGUUCAUGGAUGUGUGUGACAUACACUUUCAAUCUGACAUCUUUUGUUUA